GUGACAGUGCGUAACCACGGUUACCGUGUGAUGCCAAUAGUCUGUUACUCCAAAACUCUCAUGACUUCUAAUAAAGGAUCUCGGGUUACUGUCCUUACAAAGUAAAUCAAGCUUUAGAUUUCAGAGUAAAAAUAACAGCAGGGAAGGUGAAGAAGAAGAAGACAGAUUAUCAAUUUAAAAGGUGCAACAGAAGCAGAAGCUAUGAGACCAGAGCUGGACAAAUUUUUUAAAAAAAAAUGAUACUGGCAACACGCAGUCUUGCAUUUUUCUUUUACUACUACUUUUAUAUAUAAUAUGCAUGAAUGAAAAUCACAAAAAAAGGCUGGGCGAGGCCCCCAGUGUUUAUAAGAUCCUAGCCCCUGUAUGGUGUGUUGGUGGGCGUGUUUGUAUAGUCAAAACAGGGAUGAGUUUAAUAGCUCCAUACAGAGACACAAGUUUACAUUUCCCAGUCUAUAGCUCUGUUAUAUUUCAGAGACCAACAGCAAGUUUUCACUGAGAAGGUAAGUUGAAAUUAGAUUACUAAUUACCCACUAAUUACCAGAAUGUGUGCAUAUUUGGUAAAUCCUUAAGAACUGCCUUGUAAAAUUAACACAAAAAGAACUCGUAGAAUGAUUAAAUGUUUAUUAUUAUUAAUUAUUAAACACUUUAAUAUUUCUGUUUAAACAUUAUAUAAACUGGCAAAAUGUCCACAGGGAUAGCCUUCAUGAGCCUUUCUUUUUUUACUAAGAAUAACUUCUCUGAUAGAGUAUGGGAUAAACUGAAGCCUCGUCUCGAGUUAAAGGUCAAGUUCAUUUGAUUUCAUUUGCAGAAGUUUGUCUAUUUCAUCAGAAGAGACCUGCACAGACAAGCCUUUGUUUGUCAGUGGUAUCUGUCACGAUUUGACUACCAAAGUACUAUACUGCCCUAUUCAAAGUGCAUAUUGUCAUGUUGUUUAGAUGUACCAAUAUUAAUGGUAUAUUAUUUUGCAUAAAAUCCCAUGUGUUCAACUUUCUCUGUUUUUUGUUGUUGUUGGGUUUGGGGGGUUUUUUUUGUUUUGUUUUUUUUUUGCCUUUUUUGGUUACAGGCCAUGGAACUGCUGAGCCCUCUUUCACUACUUUUAGCAACAGUCCAGCUGCACUUUGUUUUCUCUUCCGAUGUGUGCCCAAAUGCAGGAGAUUUAGAAAUUGGCAAUUUAACUUGGAAACUUGAAUGUUGUAUGAGCAACAGAAAACAAUUCACAUUGAAAAUUGUGGCUCAAAAAAUUGACUCAUUGGACUCGAUGUACAGCUCAGAAAUGUGUCCUGGCACCAAUUACAGAGAGCGAAAGUGUUUGAAUUUCUCUCUAGCGGUAGAAAAUGGAAUUAUAAAGGUCUCUGUAAACGAUACAGUUUGUAAGGAAAACUACACUCAGCCUGAAUGCCACCCAAAUGUCACUUUCAACAAUACAGCUGUAAAUCUUCCACAGCAGAAUGGAAAUAUCUGCUUCAAUAUGAAAUCAAAGAAUGGCAUGAAAGUAAAGAUUAAAUUUCAGUGUGCUGAGUACCCUGCUGCUAACAGUAAGCUCUACCCAACGCAUUAAAAUUUCUUAAAGACUGCAUUUAACGAAGUCACAUGGAGUUUAUGUACAAUAUGUGUGCAUUACAUUUUUAAAACCUCUCAAUUUUUGUGUCCAGUCAGUCUACACAGCGAAAGUAAAAGUUGGAUUGAUGCCUUGGAGGACUGCCAGAUGGAACAUUUCUCCCUGGUUGAGAUCUGUGAAAAGAAAGUAAGGGAUGAUGUGAAAAGACUGCAAAAUAAAACAGACUCAAAGACGGGGGUGUGGAUUGGACUGCAAAGGUCCAUUUUUGGCUACAGUCCUGAGUGGAAGUGGAUUUCAGGGUAUAAUGUUGUAAAAUCACAGUUGAAUAGAACGUCGUCCGCCAACUCUGACUUUGACAACCACUGUGGAAAAGUCAUCUUUGAUAAUAAGACAGAAGAAAUCAAGUGGUCCAACGCCAACUGCCAUGAAAAAUUACCAUACAUUUGUCAAAGUAAGUUGCUGUUUUGUUGUCCAAUCAGACUUCUUCACCGUAUUUUUAUUAAAUCUUAUUGUUUUUGUUUUUUCUUUCUCUCCAGGAAUGAAUGAAAAGCCUUGUACUGAUGAUUAUACAGAGAAGUCAGGUAUAUCUACCAAAAUGUUUUCUAGCCUGUAGGCAUAAAUUGACGU
ensembl:lncRNA